rnacentral:tRNA from 1 species
ACCUGGCUGGCUCAGCUGGUAGAGCAUGUGACUCUUGAUCUCGGGGUCACAAGUUCAAGACCUAUGUUGGGUG